UUUGCAGAUUCUUUUGACCAAAAUCUUAUCUUUCCGUCAGCCUCUGUGUUUUGCCUAAAAAGUAGAAAGAAAAAUAAAAUAGAUCGAAUUUGAAAUAUUUCUUAAAGCCUACGAGAGAGUAUCAGGUGCUUCUGAUUACCCUUUUACAUCCCAUCAUUGUACAAAUCAAUUUCUCUUCUCUUCCUUCAAUACCCCAAAGCUUAAUACCAACUUCUUCUUUCUUCUUGUUUUGGCCUUUGGGUCCCCCUACCCUACAAACCACCAAAUACUUCCUAUCUGCUAACUGUCCCUAAUGUUUUGAUCCCCUACACAGUCCUUGUUCUGUACCAUCACACUUCACUUCAAUUGGGGAGAGGGGAUUUCAAGAAAAAAGGCACUUGCACUUUGGCCUUAUUAUGUAGUUUGUCUAACCCAAGUUGGUACCUGACUAGACAAGUUGGAGUUGUGAUGGAGCAGAUAGCUUGCAAGUGAACGUACGCUGAUUUUGGAGCAUAUGAUGAUCACUUUUCUGGGUUCUCUUGCAAGCCAGCCCUGAUAUUUCACAAAUAAUAUUAGUGAAAGACUGAACUUCAUCACAAACAAGUUAGUUUCUUUCGAUCAGAUUACACUGACUUCCCUCCUUUAAAUGCAAACUUGACAGCAUUGAGUUUGAAUUCUUCGAAUUUGUAGCUAAAGUGAGAAACAUGGACUGAAAGUAAUAUUUUCCCCAAAUAGAGUUGUCAAAGAGACUGGCUGCAGCUUUAGAUGCUACAACUAAAAAGCACAUGAUGGAGGUAGAUAACUCAACUGUUUUUUCUUUCCUUUUCUUUUUUCAUUUUUUCCCCUCCAAAUCUAUAUUGCUUACUCUUCUAAAAAA